rnacentral:ncRNA from 1 species
GCCCGGGGACGGCCCCGGAUCAUUCGAGUCAACGGGGACGGCCCC